rnacentral:rRNA from 1 species
CUACGGGUCGCUGCAGUGGGGAAUAUUGCACAAUGGGCGCAAGCCUGAUGCAGCCAUGCCGCGUGUAUGAAGAAGGCCUUCGGGUUGUAAAGUACUUUCAGCGGGGAGGAAGGGAGUAAAGUUAAUACCUUUGCUCAUUGACGUUACCCGCAGAAGAAGCACCGGCUAACUCCGUGCCAGCAGCCGGCGGUAAUACGGAGGGUGCAAGCGUUAAUCGGAAUUACUGGGCGUAAAGCGCACGCAGGCGGUUUGUUAAGUCAGAUGUGAAAUCCCCGGGCUCAACCUGGGAACUGCAUCUGAUACUGGCAAGCUUGAGUCUCGUAGAGGGGGGUAGAAUUCCAGGUGUAGCGGUGAAAUGCGUAGAGAUCUGGAGGAAUACCGGUGGCGAAGGCGGCCCCCUGGACGAAGACUGACGCUCAGGUGCGAAAGCGUGGGGAGCAAACAGGAUUAGAUACCCGGGAGUC